rnacentral:rRNA from 1 species
GGCUCAGGAUGAACGCUGGCGGCGUGCUUAACACAUGCAAGUCGAACGAAGCACUUUAAUUGAUUUCUUCGGAAUGAAGUUUUUGUGACUGAGUGGCGGACGGGUGAGUAACGCGUGGGUAACCUGCCUCAUACAGGGGGAUAACAGUUGGAAACGACUGCUAAUACCGCAUAAGCGCACAGGAUUGCAUGAUCCAGUGUGAAAAACUCCGGUGGUAUGAGAUGGACCCGCGUCUGAUUAGCCAGUUGGCGGGGUAACGGCCCACCAAGGCGACGAUCAGUAGCCGGCCUGAGAGGGUGAACGGCCACAUUGGGACUGAGACACGGCCCAAACUCCUACGGGAGGCAGCAGUGGGGAAUAUUGCACAAUGGGGGAAACCCUGAUGCAGCGACGCCGCGUGAGCGAAGAAGUAUUUCGGUAUGUAAAGCUCUAUCAGCAGGGAAGAAGAAAUGACGGUACCUGACUAAGAAGCACCGGCUAAAUACGUG